GAUGAACGCUGGCGGCGUGCUUAACACAUGCAAGUCGAGCGAACGGACGAGCAGUUUGCUUUUCUGAUGUUAGCGGCGGAUGGGUGAGUAACACGUGGAUAACCUACCUAUAAGACUGGGAUAACUUCUGGAAACCGGAGCUAAUACCGGAUAAUAUUUUGAACUGCAUGGUUCAAAAGUGAAAGAAGGACUUGUUGUUACUUAUAGAGGGAUACGCGCUGCAUUAGCUAGUUGUUAAGGUAAUGGCUUACCAAGGCAACGACGCAUAGUCGACCUGCGAGGGUGAUCGUCGACACUGGAACUGGGACACGGUCCAGGCUCCUACGGGAGGCGGCGGUAGGGAAUCUUCCGCAAUGGGCGAAGGCCUGACGGUGCAGCAGCGCGUGAGUGAUGAAGAUCUUCGGCUCGUGAUACUCUGUUAUUAGGGAAGAACAUAUGUGUAAGUAGCUGUGCACAUCUUGACGGUAGCUAAUCAAGAAGCCACGGCUAACUACGUG
rnacentral:rRNA from 1 species